rnacentral:lncRNA from 1 species
GGACACAGACGUCAGCAGCUGCGAAGAGGCCUGGCCUGGCCGUGCUGCACCCUCAUCUCUGCCUUUCAGCCUCCAGAAUGGUGAGAAAGACACUUCCUUUGCUUAUCAGUCACCCAGUCUAGGGUUUUUGUUACAGCAGCCCAGAUGGACUAAGACCACCUGCUCAAUCGUUUGUUUCUCAGAUGAAUAAGAACUCUCUGCCAGGGAAGAGACCUUCCCCAAAACCCCUCACGGGGGACGCUGGUUUUAGUGAUGUCUGCUUUCUAAGUGAGAGCCAUGAUUCAGGAUUGGAGAUGGUGUUUCUUCUCAGUUCUUCGUCCCACAUUUACUUGCUUGGCAUCUGCUCUGUGCCUGGCACUGCACCGGGCACCCUUUAGAUAAGGAUGAGCCCUGAAAAGUGGGAGCAGACGGCUUAAUGGAGCCUCGUUGUGACUCACCCCAGUGGGAAGGUUGAGGCACCUGCCUCGGGGGAAUCCACAGCCAAGAUAAAGCAUCACCCACCAGGCGUGGGGAUGGUCGAGCGUCACCAGAAUGAUGCAGGGUGGAAGGCACACGCCACAGCUCCCUCACUCUAGAAGGAUGUUUUUGAGAAGUCUACCUGCUCCCCAGAGGCAUGGGGCAGCCUAGUUCUCUCUUCCCCUCUUUUCUUUCUUCGCUCUCAAUUCCCCAUCUGUGAGUCACUCGGUAUCAGUCCACUAAACUCUUCUCAGCCCAUGUCAGCAGGAACCAGCUGGCUUUGUGGGGGAAAAUACCAACCCAGCUGUCUGCACAAGGAUGGUAAGAAUUAGAACCUUGGGUCCCAUACCUCCAGCUCACAUCUGGAGAAACUGAAGGGGAGACUUUGAAAUUUGGGGUCAAGGAAGCCUUGUAGCUUUUUGAUUAACAGCACGAGUUCUUGAGUCACCUGGCCUGGAAGAAAAAGCCCGCCUCGGCCGUUUAGUUACUGAUUGAUUUCGACCCAUCACUUCACUCACCAAGCUUCAGCUCCUCCUCUCUGACUAUAGGACAAGAUCAGUACCACGCUCCUAAGGCCAGCGAUGCUGCAAAAUGCAUAAUAACCUUUGGUUGUUAUUUUAGUGAUGAUUCUUCUAGAUUUCUCCUGAGAAGUCAUGCAAAACAGGAAUGUGAAUUGCAAAAAAGAUGCUGAGCAGGAAGGCACCAAAGAAAGCCUUUCUCCAAAGGGGAUGUUUAUUUCAGAGGCACACAGGGGGAAGCUCCACCAGCUGUUUUCCAGGAAAUCAUCCACUUCACCCAGGGUGGGGAUAUGGACAAGACAGAGUCCCGGCCUCCCUGGGAAACUGGUGUGAGGAAGUCCAGUCAGCAACACAACUGAGAGAGACCCCGCCGUGCCCAGUAGUGCCAGGCAUAGUGAAGUUAAGGUGAUGGGGAGGGGUGACCAUUGGAGGUGAAGGGACCUGAGAGUGGAGACCAGGACAGGGGAUGGGAAAGCCAAGUCCCUGAGGAAGGGAUGAGCUUAAUAAGUUUGAGGAACAGAAAAAAGGUGACUCCAGAAGGCUUGCCCACAGCUGGGUCUUACAAGGGAUGGAAGCCCUUAGACCUCGAGGAGGGAUCGUGUGGCCUCCUGAUUUCCGUUUUUAUAGGCAGCUUUGGAGGAUGGAUUAGCAGGAGAGGGAGGCGAGCGCUGGAGUAGGAAACCCAACUGGCAGCCGGUCCACCGCUGUCCAGCAAAUCCGGUGUUGACUCGGAAGGUCAGUGGAGACGGAGGGAGUUGAGAGAUGUGGGAUCUGCUUUGGAGGCAGAGACAACAGAAUGGGAGAAAGGAAUCCAGGAUGACGCCGACGUCUUGGGGAGGCGCUGCUGAGGAGUGUGAGUGAGGUCCCGCCUGACCCCAGCUAGUGGGCUGCUGCCUUCUUCUGGCUUCCGUGAGUCAAAGGGACAUGAAAACCACAACAUGAGGUUUAACUGCGAAGCCCCGCUCCCCGCCCAUCCCCUUCGCCUCUUGAGUUUCAUUUUACUGGUCCCGUCCCAACAGAUGGCUCUUCUUAAAGCAGCAUCGCCAGUGUGUAAUUCUUCUUAAUGACAGGAGAGCCAAUUUUAUUCUCUCCGGAAAUUAAUUUCUCUUCCAUUUCUCUCUUCCCCUCCACCCCUCUCUCUGUUCCUGUGAUGAUUUCUUUCGGAAAUAAUUCCCCUUGCACGCGACCUCCACAAACCUCUGAAUCCCCGCAGAUGGAGCAAGGCUGCUCUUGCGAGGGAACGGAGGGCAGGAGGCAUGUCCUGUGCUCUGCGGUUUUGUUCCUGGAGGAGGAGGACAUGGGGACAGCUCUAGGACUAAGGGUUCAUCUUUUCAUCUAUGUUUACUUCUCAGGAGACCCCAGCCCCAUGGUCUUAAAUUUUUCAUUGAAGUAUAGUUGGUUUACAAUGUUCCUUCAGUUUCUACUGUACAGCAAAGUGACCCAGCCACACACACACACACACAUUGUUUUUUUUUUUUUUUUCUUCAUACUAGCUACUAUGUUUUUUGCCUCCUUGGCUCUGCACAUGUGUUCUCUACAUAAUAUUAAAUAGUAACCUUUGUGUCUCCCACAUUCUGGGGUGCUCCAGACACACACACCACAUUUUUCAACCACGCACACAUGCACGCACAAGAGUGGAACCCGUACUGGCUGACCCAGGGCAAAAUCAAACAACUUUUAACUGCUAAGUUGACUUUACCUUUUUUAACACCUUAAUUGAGACAUAAUUUACGUGCCAUAAAAUUCACCCAUUUUAAGUGUGUGAUUCAAUGGCUUUUUAAGUUUACUGAGUUGUAUCCUGGCUGUUUUCUUUCUUGCAAACGGAGCCACUGGAUGAACACUCUCACCCCCUGAGCUCCCUCCCCACUUGGAAAUGUGACAGUUAAAGAGCAGGUUCUGUUUCACCCCCCCCAAGUAGUUUUUAUUCAUUCUGCCAUUUACAACUUACUUCCUGUGUUUUGAUUCUGAGCUGCUCAGGCCUACUUCUUAGAAGCCAAGUGGAUUAGUUUUUACACUGUCAAGAAGUUUCUCUUGUGUCAGAGGAGUUUUCUGGGUUUUUUGUUUGUUUUGUUAAUCUUCAGAUCUUUGCUU